GAUGAACGCUGGCGGCGUGCCUAAUACAUGCCAGUCGAGCGAACAGACGAGGAGCUUGCUCCUCUGACGUUAGCGGCGGACGGGUGAGUAACACGUGGAUAACCUACCUAUAAGACUGGGAUAACUUCGGGAAACCGGAGCUAAUACCGGAUAACAUGUUGAACCGCAUGGUUCAACAGUGAAAGACGGUCUUGCUGUCACUUAUAGAUGGAUCCGCGCCGCAUUAGCUAGUUGGUAAGGUAACGGCUUACCAAGGCAACGAUGCGUAGCCGACCUGAGAGGGUGAUCGGCCACACUGGAACUGAGACGCGGUCCAGACUCCUACGGGAGGCAGCAGUAGGGAAUCUUCCGCAAUGGGCGAAAGCCUGACGGAGCAACGCCGCGUGAGUGAAGAAGGUCUUCGGAUCGUAAAACUCUGUUAUUAGGGAAGAACAAAUGUGUAAGUAACUAUGCACGUCUUGACGGUACCUAAUCAGAAAGCCACGGCUAACUACGUG
rnacentral:rRNA from 1 species